UCAGCGGCAGACGGGUGAGUAACACGUAUAUAACCUACCCUCAAGACGGGGAUAACCGGUGGAAACAGCGGCUAAUACCCGAUAGGCUCACGUGAUCGGGAGGUCAUGUGAGGAAAGGCUGCGGUGCUUGAGGAGGGGUCUGCGGCCCAUCAGCUAGUUGGUGAGGUAACGGCUCACCAAGGCGAAGACGGGUAGGGGGUGUGAGAGCACGAUCCCCCACAAUGGGACUGCGACACGGCCCAUACUCCUACGGGAGGCAGCAGCAGGGAAUAUUGCGCAAUGGACGGAAGUCAGACGCAGCGACGCCGCGUGGGUGAGGAAGGCCUUCGGGUUGUAAAGCCCUUUUCUGGAGGGCGAGGCAGGACGGUACUCCAGGAAUAAGCGUCGGCUAACUACGUGCCAGCACGCCGCGGUAAGACGUAGGACGCAAGCGUUAUCCGGAUUUACUGGGCGUAAAGCGCCUGUAGGCGGCGGGAUAAGUCGGAUGUGAAAGCCCCGUGCUCAACGCGGGGAAGCCAUUCGAUACUGUCUGGCUAGAGAGCGGGAGAGGGAAACGGAAUUUCUGGUGUAGCGGUAAAAUGCGCAGAGAUCAGAAGGAACACCGAUGGCGAAGGCAGUUUCCUAGGCCGUAUCUGACGCUGAGAGGCGAAAGCUAGGGGAGCGAACAGGAUUAGAGACCCUGGUAGUCCUAGCUGUAUACGCUGGAUGCUAGGUGUGGGCCAGAACGGUCCGUGCCGGAGUUAACGCGAUAAGCAUCCCGCCUGGGGAGUACGGCCGCAAGGCUCAAACUCAAACGAAUUGACGGGGACCCGCACAAGCAGCGGAGCGUGUGGUUUAAUUCGAUGCUACACGCAGAACCUUACAUGGGCUUGACAUGUAGGUGGUAGUGAAGUGAAAGCGGAGCGACCCUUCGGGGAGCUUACACAGGUGCUGCAUGGCUGUCGUCAGCUCGUGCCGUGAGGUGUCGGGUUAAGUCCCGUAACGAGCGCAACCCUUGUCCUUAGUUACAAGUGUCUAAGGAGACUGCCGGUGACAAACCGGAGGAAGGUGGGGAUGACGUCAAGUCAGCAUGGCCCUUAUGUCCAGGGCGACACACACGCUACAAUGGUCGGUACAAAGGGCAGCGCAGCCGCGAGGUGAAGCGAAUCCCAACAAGGCCGAUCCCAGUUCGGAUUGCAGGCUGCAACCCGCCUGCAUGAAGCCGGAGUUGCUAGUAACCGCGCGUCAGCCAUAGUGCGGUGCAUACGUUCCCGGGUCUUGUACACACCGCCCGUCACGUCAUGGGAGUCGGUUACGCCUGAAGCCGGAAGUCU
rnacentral:rRNA from 1 species